rnacentral:lncRNA from 13 species
CGGGUUGCCUCGGUAAUGGUGGCCACCCCUCCCCCUCAGAGCAUCUCGGGCCAUCUGCACGGGGCUUGUUUGAAAUCGCGGUUUUGUUUGUCCCACUGGGCCAACCCUAACGCUCUGUCCCGGCAAUCCCCUGGGCUGGCCCAGUGUCCAAGUCUAGCUAAGUCUCAAGUCAAGCCCUCUCACGUCUCCGGUUGCCGGUUCAACGGGGCACCCGAACAGGCGCGCCCUGUUGGGAGCGCUGGGUAGCGCCGGCCGCCGCCACCCUGGCUGCCGGCUUCGCCAGGCGGAAUAUCUGCCUGGCGUUCCGCGUCUCCUCUUCACUAGGGAAUUUCCCCAUUCCGUGGGCAACAAAGAUCAGUCUGGAAAUGCAGCUCAGACUCACCUCUCCGUGGACACAACGAGAACUCCAAUCCUGGGUUGUUCUCACAGCGCCAUCUUGAGUCCUCCCCUUACAGUUACAUUUUCAAAAGAUCUGUUGGACAGAUGGACUACAGUGAAGCUAAAAGUGAAAGAGCUAUUAAACUUACAAACGCAACCCAACGUCUUCCUGAUAAAGCAAACAGGCAUUUUGAGGCAGGAGAAUUGCCUGAACCCAGGAGGCGGAGGUUGCGGUGUGUGCACAAAAUCACAUGGAAUGCAUCUGGCUGAUGGCUUUGGAUAAGGAAUGUUGCAGAAACAAGUUAAGUAUAACAUGAAGCAUCAUAUUGUCCAGCUUAUUGUUCAACUUAGGUAGUGCAAAUUUCAUGAAGAUUUAGUUUGUAUUCUUUAUGAGAAAAAUAAGUAUUGGUUUUUCUCAAUGCUAACUGAAAAUCUUUCAAGCAAAACAUUUUAUUAUGAAACAGUUUAUUGAAUAUAAUGCAAUAAUAAUGUGCAAAAUGCUCUGAAAAACAUAUGGAAAGAACCA